UACAGAGGUCCCGAGCGUUGUUCGGAUUCACUGGGCGUAAAGGGUGCGUAGGCGGCUUAUUAAGUCAGGGGUGAAAGACGGUGGCUCAACCAUCGCAGUGCCCUUGAUACUGAUGAGCUUGAAUACACUUGAGGUAGGCGGAAUGUGACAAGUAGCGGUGAAAUGCAUAGAUAUGUCACAGAACACCAAUUGCGAAGGCAGCUUACUAAGGUGCAAUUGACGCUGAGGCACGAAAGCGUGGGGAUCAAACAGG
rnacentral:rRNA from 1 species